rnacentral:rRNA from 1 species
CACACCGCCCGUCACGCCAUGGGAGUCAGUUGCUCCAGAAGUGCCUGCACUAACCCGCAAGGGAGGUAGGGUACCAAGGAGUGGCUGGUAACUGGGGUG